AGAGUUUGAUCCUGGCUCAGGACGAACGCUGGCGGCGUGCUUAACACAUGCAAGUGGAGCGACGAACCGGGGCUUGCCCCGGGGCAGAGCCGCGAACGGGUGAGUAACACGUGGGUAACCUACCCCGAUGACCGGGACAACUCGAGGAAACUCGGGCUAAUACCGGAUGUGCUCGUUGAUCAUGAGGUUGGCGAGUAAAG
rnacentral:rRNA from 1 species